UACGGAGGGGGCUAGCGUUGUUCGGAAUUACUGGGCGUAAAGCGCGUGUAGGCGGGUCUUUAAGUCAGGGGUGAAAUGCCAAGGCUCAACCUUGGAACUGCCUUUGAUACUGGAGAUCUUGAGUCCGGGAGAGGUGAGUGGAACUGCGAGUGUAGAGGUGAAAUUCGUAGAUAUUCGCAAGAACACCAGUGGCGAAGGCGGCUCACUGGCCCGGAACUGACGCUGAGACGCGAAAGCGUGGGGAGCAAACAGG
rnacentral:rRNA from 1 species